AAUGAACGCUGGCGGCAUGCCUAACACAUGCAAGUCGAGCGAACACACAGGAAGCUCGUGCUCCUGCGGGUGGCGAGUGUCGGACGGGUGACGUUUGCAUCGCAUACUACUGUUACUUGGGGAAUAACGGGGGAACAGUUCUUCUACUACCGCAUAUAUCGUACCGGUUAAUGCACUAGUUCUACUAGGCUUUCGCGUUUGUAUUAGCCGAUGUCGCAUUAGCUAGGUGGCGGGGUAAAGGCCCACCUAGGCAACGAUCCGUAGCUGAUCUGAGAGGAUGAUCAGCCACACUGGAACUGAGACACGGUCCAGACUCCUACGGGAGGAAGCAGUGGGGAAUCUUGCGCAAUGGGCGAAAGCCUGAUCGAGCAACACCGCGUGGGUGAUGAAGGACUUCGGGUUGUAAAGCUCUGUUGUUGGGAAAGAACAAAAGCAGGUUAAUCUAUGGAUGUCAUGACGGUACCAAAAGAAUAAGCCCCGGCUAACUCCGUG
rnacentral:rRNA from 1 species